rnacentral:tmRNA from 1 species
GGGGGCGAUUUGGGCUCGACCGGGCAAGUUGAGGUCGUGGCCGCGUGCCCAGGUUGUCAGGUGGCCUGGUUAAAAACCUGACAAAACUAUUAAUUGCCAAUGGUUAUCCAUUAGCAAUGGCUGCCUAAAAAGGCGGCCCGUUCCUUCGGUGAUGCCUGCUAGCCGAUUGGGACGUCGACAGCAGGCCCGCCCGCGUGGGUAGGCGACGUGACACGCGGGUCAGAAAACCACGCCGCUGGGUCGUUUGGAGCCUGUCGCUGGGCGUCUAGCGGCCGAGAUCAAAACGGCAGACUACGCACGUAGAAACCACGGUCGAAGUGUCACGGGACGGGGGUUCGAUUCCCCCCGCCUCCAUUC